rnacentral:misc_RNA from 1 species
AACCAUAGAAACCUGCGGAGUACCUGCGGAGGGAUCAUUACAGAGUUGCAAAACUCCCUAAACCUUUGUGAACGUUACCUAAACCGUUGCUUCGGCGGGCGGCCCGGGUCCUUCCCGGCGCCCCUCGGCCCUCGCGGGCGCCCGCCGGAGGUAAACCAAACUAUUGCAUUGUAUGGCCUCUCUGAGUCUUCUGUACUGAAUAAGUCAAAACUUUCAGCAACGGAUCUCAGAUCGGAAGAG